rnacentral:tRNA from 1 species
GCCGGUGUAGCUCAGUCGGUAGAGCAACUGAUUCGUAAUCAGUAGGUCAUCGGUUCGACUCCGGUCACCGGCA